rnacentral:rRNA from 1 species
AGUGAACGCUGGCGGUAGGCCUAACACAUGCAAGUCGAACGGCAGCACAGUAAGAGCUUGCUCUUACGGGUGGCGAGUGGCGGACGGGUGAGGAAUACAUCGGAAUCUACUUUUUCGUGGGGGAUAACGUAGGGAAACUUACGCUAAUACCGCAUACGACCUACGGGUGAAAGCAGGGGAUCUUCGGACCUUGCGCGAUUGAAUGAGCGGAUGUCGGAUUAGCUAGUUGGCGGGGUAAAGGCCCACCAAGGCGACGAUCCGUAGCUGGUCUGAGAGAAUGGUCGGCCGCACUGGAAGUGAGACACGGUCCAGACUACUACGGGAGGCAGCAGUGGGGAAUAUUGGACAAUGGGGGCAAGCCUGAUCCAGCCAUACCGCGUGGGUGAAGGAGGCCUUCGGGUUGUAAAGCCCUUUUGUUGGGAAAGAAAAGCAGCAGGUUAAUACCCCGCUGUUCUGACGGUACCCAAAGAAUAAGCACCGGCUAACUUCGUG